CGGGUGAGUAACGCGUGAGGAACCUGCCUUUCAGAGGGGGACAACAGUUGGAAACGACUGCUAAUACCGCAUAACACAUAGGUGUCGCAUGGCAUUUAUGUCAAAGAUUUAUCGCUGAAAGAUGGCCUCGCGUCUGAUUAGCUAGUUGGUAGGGUAACGGCCUACCAAGGCGACGAUCAGUAGCCGGACUGAGAGGUUGGCCGGCCACAUUGGGACUGAGAUACGGCCCAGACUCCUACGGAAGGCAGCAG
rnacentral:rRNA from 1 species